AAAAUUAAAAGUUAAGAGUUGAAAAGAUCUGACCAAAUGGGUAGCAAUCCAAUAGACAAGAAUGUCAAUAGAAAUCCAUAAUUCCCUUGGACUUUUUAGAAGGAAGCAACACACAAAUGCACAAUUAUAUUAUCUUGAAGAGCAAGGUGUAACACCCCAAAAUUUUCCCUCCUCAUUCAUGCAUUCAUUUUUAGGUCAUUUAACAUUUCAUAUUGCAUUUCAUCAUGUCAAUCAGAAUCAGAUCCAAGAAACUUUAUUUUUUUUAUAAAAAAAAAU
rnacentral:lncRNA from 1 species